GUGAUCCUUGAAAGAAGUUGUAGUGCGCGUGUUUAAUUUGUAAAAGGAUUUGUUAAUUGUGUUAGUCGUUAAAAGCAAAAGUAUGUUGAUAAUUGUUGUUAGAAAGUACGGAUAUUAGUUGUGUUAAUUUAUUAGUACGUUGAAAUCCCGUUAACCACAAUAAGAACGACAAAAACGACAGUAACAAACAAAUUAAAAAACCACCAAGAAAAAGGUCCAUGCCAAAGGGACCUUUUUCUUUUGUGCUUUUUCCAAGUUCUCGACAGUGCAGUGCAUCGGUGGAAACUUCCGUGGGCGAAGAGCUAGUUCCGGUUCCUCCGGCCGUAUAAAUCCCGACGAUUUGGAUGCCGGAGACUUUCGGUCCAAAUCCGUGCCGCCAUUGCUUUUGAGCACGCGGGAUUGCCGUUUGCUGAACGUAGGCCGCCAUCUUCCAGCCACAUUCCUGUGCCGCACUCGUCCCGUCCGUGGAUUGACGUCCGGACUGUAAAGACCCUGCGACCAACGCCAAGCCGGCCAGAUCGGCCACCUCCACACCGAAUCCAACACCAAAGCGCAAGUACCCCCAAAUGUGACGUCACAAAUAAAAUUGUAGAAUUGUUAACCUCAGGUGUAGCUAACUUUAAGAAAGAGCAGCCCUGAAUUAUAAAGGUCUUUCACCAUUUUCGUUGCGUCGUCCUCCCGGGUCCACAAAGGGACCACCAAGCCUCGUCAUUCUUGGAUCACUGCAUGUAUAGAUACCCCCCCCCCCUUCUACAUCAAACAGCUUUGCCCAUCCUACCGCAUUAGACACCUUUUAUCGACAGCUCUGUUUACAGUUCCCUCCUGCGAAGAACCGAAUCAUCCUCAGCUUGAGUAUUGGGGUGAUUGAAGUAGCGUAACGACCCGGUAGAAUACCCUCCCGUGAGCUAGCAAGU